GGCAAAUCUGGGAAGACUUCCACAGAGGAGGUGGCAAGCCGGAACAAGGCACACAAAUGCCAGCUGAGUGGAAGGUCAACCAGUCCAACUUCUCAUGUUUCAGAAGAGGAAAGCAAGGUCUGGAGAGGGAACGUGGCUUGCCCAAGAUAUGUUUCAAACUUUGAUGAAAAGCAGGGAAGUUUGGGAAGAAAAUCCAAGACUUCUCUGGAGAGAGGUGCUGUGUUUUAUAGCAUCGGGCUGGACCCAGGAAGCUGGCUCCCA
rnacentral:lncRNA from 10 species